rnacentral:lncRNA from 1 species
UGGAAGACUUGUACAUGUUAAUAAGAUUUGCAAAAAGAUGAAAUCAUUAAAAAGUAAAAAGAAAUGAAUGAUGGAGGAAAAAAGGAUAAGAAAAUCAAGGACCAAUUGGGCAUGGUGAAAAAUGCUUAUAAUUCCAGCACUCCAAGGCCAAAGCAGGAGGAUCCCAAGUCCAAGUUUGAGGAAAAGCAGCUGGACAAAGAGUGAGACCCUCAAGAAAAGAAGGGGGGAGGAAAGAAGGGAAGAAAGGAAAGAAGAAAAUUAAGGAUCUAUCUAGUCUAACAUCAAACAGGAGUUGCAGAAAGAAUAGGAAUAAUAGGAUAUUAUUCAAGAAAUUAAAAGAAGGAUUUAGCUCAGUGGUGCCAUGCCUACCUUGCACAAGGUCCUGGGUUCAAUCCCCAUAACUGAAAAAAAAAAUUUUUUUAAGAGGGGGAGCUGGGGAUGUAGCUCAGUGUGAAGGCCCUAGGUCCAAUCCUUAGUACCACAAAAGAAAAGACAAAAAGAAUGCUUCAGGGGAAAAUGGAAGUGAUGAAUUACCUAAUAGAGGCAACGAAGUGAAUAAAGUAUGUACUGAGAAACUUUAUGUGGGAAGAAUUAAUGAUAGGUAUAUUUUGAAGAACAAAGCAAAAGAGCAAAGUAAUGAUUAAUGCUAGGAGAAACAAAAAGUUGGAAACAAUCAUGAAACACUAGUGGGUUAGCAAUGUACAUUUACAGUACUCGGCCAGGGAUUUAGCUCAGUGGUUCUGCCGCCUGCUUCACAAGUGCAAGGACCCGAGUUUGAUCCCCGGCACCAAAAAAACAAAAAUACAUUUACAGUACUCAUAGUGAAAAUAAUGGCACCUGGAGGUUGUGGUGCAGGCCUGUAGUCCUAGCACUCAGGAGGCUGAGGCAGGAGGAUUGCCACGAGUUCAAGGCCAGCUUGGAUGAGAUAGUGAGAUCCCAUCUCAAAAAACAAUGCAAGCUGAUGUGGUGUAUGCCUGUGAUCCCAGCAUUCAAGAGGCUGAGGCAGGAGGAUCAACAGUUUAAGUCCAGCCUGGGGAAUUCAGUAACUUGUUACUAUUAUUUGAUGUUAGACUUUAGAUAGAUCCUUAAUUUUUUCUUUCCUUUUUUCCUUCUUCCUUUUCUCCACCUUUUCUUAGGGUCUCACUCUGUUGUCCCGCUGGCUGUCUCAAAAUCUAAAACAAAGGGGCUGGGGAUUUAGCUCAGUGGUUUCGCCGCCUGCUGUGCAAGUGCAAGGAGGAGAGUUCGAUUCCCGGUAGCCAGUUUAUUUCUGCUCCGAGCCUUUCCAUUCAGCUGUGCCCUCUGCCUGGAAUACUCUUUCCCAGAAGAGGUCUUUUCUUCCCGCCCCUAUCACAUCACUUCAUUCUCCCUCACCUGUGUCACUCUGAGGUUACCUGGUUACAAGCCUGUGUGCGUUCUUCCAGUGGAGUGGAGGUCCUGAGAGCAGCCCCGUCUGUCUUGCGCCUGCUGUCUCAUGCAGGAUGCCUUGUACUUAGUAGGUACUGAAUAUUUAUUA